rnacentral:tRNA from 13 species
GUGCCCGUAGCUCAAUUGGAUAGAGUAUCAGAUUCCGAUUCUGACGGUUGCAGGUUCGAGACCUGUCGGGUGCGCCA